rnacentral:lncRNA from 1 species
UGGCAGGCUGAGAAGUAAUCUGAGGGUUUUCUGUUGGGUGGGGCCAAUCUCUAGGUCAAGCUGCCUGUCCUGGCUGAAUUGGAUAAAAUCUGCACUGUAGUGGGUGUGGCAGACUCCUGGGCUAUCAGGACAGGGGAAGAACUUCAAUGGGGUCUGCCAGAAUCUGUGUCAGCACACCUGUACUAGGUCACAACAAUGGCCACCACCAAUGUCUUGGUCUCUGGAGAGGUGUCACCUCUCACUGAGAUGCACCCAGAGCCUACCAGAAAGUAAACUGUUACAUGAAAGGAAUAAAAAUUGAAAGUGGAGAUCUUGGCCUUGCUAUAAGAGACAAACAAAUCAAAGAACUAGGCCCUCAGCUACUUUCUCAAUGGAGCUCAAUGGAGAACAGUGGCUACCUUUGCACCUACGCCAUCUCCUAGCCUUGGUGGGCUGUCUCAGUCUCCCCCAAAGAUGAGAGCCAUGUGAAGAGAGCUUCAGCAGGGCAGUUGCAGCCCAAGCGAGAUUCAAAUGGACUUGUGGAGGUUCUGACUCUUACCACCACUUCCCAACUCAGAGGGAGCAAAGUGCUGGGGCGCUGUAUGGGACGGAGUGGAUCUGGCUUCCCUAGGCUGUCUGGAUGAACCAACUAGCACAGCCUGGAAGCAUAGGAGUACUUAAUACUGGGUGGGGGGAAGGGACAAUGAGGCAGACUGACCAAAGAAAGGCAGAUGGAAAAGAGAUGACAGACGAAUUUUCCUUCCUCCUUUCUUCACCCCAGGGGAGUUCCCGGGUACAGUGGAUCUACACAGCCAGACCAGAGAAAUCUGGCAUGGGCCAGCGACUAACUGUAUUUUCUUGUGAAACUGUGGCCACCUCAUUAAGCACGAUGUUUUUGUUCUCCUUCCUUUCCUGCCUGACUUCCCUCUUCCAUCACUUUUGCUGCCCUAGGAUUUUACCUUCCAAUAAAGCUAGACCAU